ACAGUGGUGGUUAGUGGUAGAACUCUGGCCUUCCAUGUCGGAGAACUGGGUUCGAUUCCUGGCCAAUGGU
rnacentral:tRNA from 1 species